rnacentral:rRNA from 1 species
UACGAAGGGGGCUAGCGUUGUUCGGAAUUACUGGGCGUAAAGCGCGCGCAGGCGGUCCUUUAAGUCAGGGGUGAAAUCCUGGAGCUCAACUCCAGAACUGCCUUUGAUACUGAAGAUCUUGAGUUCGGGAGAGGUGAGUGGAACUGCGAGUGUAGAGGUGAAAUUCGUAGAUAUUCGCAAGAACACCAGUGGCGAAGGCGGCUCACUGGCCCGAUACUGACGCUGAGGCACGAAAGCGUGGGGAGCAAACAGG